rnacentral:rRNA from 1 species
CCUACGGGAGGCAGCAGUGAGGAAUAUUGGUCAAUGGCCGGAAGUCUGAACCAGCCAAGCCGCGUGAAGGACGAAGGUCCCAAGCAUUGUAAACUUCUUUUGUCCAGGGAUAAACUCAGGCACGUGUGCCUUAUCGCAGGUACCUCAUGAAUAAGGACCGGCUAAUUCCGUGCCAGCAGCCGCGGUAAUACGGAGGAUCCGGGCGUUAUCCGGAUUUAUUGGGUUUAAGGGGUGCGAAGGCGGGCCGUUAAGUCUGUGGUAAAAGCCCGGGGCUAAACCCUGGCCAGCCGUUGAAACUGGCGGGCUGGAGAGGGCGGGAGGUAGGCGGAAUGCGUGGUGUAGCGGUGAAAUGCUUAGAUAUUGCGCAGAACUCCGAUUGCGAAGGCAGCAUACCGUAGG